rnacentral:rRNA from 1 species
UGGGGAAUAUUGCACAAUGGAGGGAACUCUGAUGCAGCGACGCCGCGUGAACGAAGAAGGCUUUCGAGUCGUAAAGUUCUUUUAUAUGGGAAGAUAAUGACGGUACCAUAAGAAAAAGCCCCGGCUAACUACGUGCCAGCAGCCGCGGUAAUACGUAGGGGGCUAGCGUUGUCCGGAAUCACUGGGCGUAAAGGGUUCGCAGGCGGAAAUGCAAGUCAGGUGUAAAAGGCAGUAGCUUAACUACUGUAAGCAAUUGAAACUGCAUAUCUUGAGAAGAGUAGAGGUAAGUGGAAUUUUUAGUGUAGCGGUGAAAUGCGUAGAUAUUAAAAAGAAUACCGGUGGCGAAGGCGACUUACUGGGCUCAUUCUGACGCUGAGGAACGAAAGCGUGGGUAGCAAACAGG